rnacentral:rRNA from 1 species
UACGGAGGGAGCUAGCGUUGUUCGGAAUUACUGGGCGUAAAGCGUGCGUAGGCGGUUAUUCAAGUCAGAGGUGAAAGCCCGGGGCUCAACCCCGGAACGGCCUUUGAAACUAGAUAACUAGAAUCUUGGAGAGGUCAGUGGAAUUCCGAGUGUAGAGGUGAAAUUCGUAGAUAUUCGGAAGAACACCAGUGGCGAAGGCGCUCUACUGGGCCAUUACUGACGCUGAUGGACGAAAGCUAGGGGAGCGAAAGGG